rnacentral:rRNA from 1 species
GGGGGGGUUGCGGAAGGAUCAUUG